CGCUGCGCCACCUACACCGGCAGUUCAACCCGCCCCGCCAGAGCCGGAUUCCCAGCUAGAGCCACGGCUACCGACACCAGAGGGUUAUUCAGGCACGCAUUAACCCGCCGGUCCCGGUUCCCCCGUCGCCACGACUUGUUGAUGGGGAAACCACCUUUUCUGUCAAUCGUAUUUUGGACUCUAGAAGGAGGGGACGCGGAUUCCAGUACCUGGUGGACUGGGAGGGUUACGGCCCGGAGGAGAGAAGUUGGGUGCCUGCUAGGGACAUUCUGGAUCACUCCCUUAUCGAUGAUUUCAAUCGACAGAUCGUUGUUUCUUCCCUGAGGUUGUGUCGUGUGUCCGUGCUCUUCUCUUGUGUGGAUUAUCUGCUGUGCUCCUUCCUACUCAUCCGGACACACUCCCCUGGUUUUCUCAGCACGUUAUCAUCGGAAGAUGCGCCCGAGUCCCUGGGUCGGAUUCCGUCUGAGUACAGUCUGUCUGUCCUGUUGCUGCUGUGAACUAUAUUCAUUAAACCAUCGUUGCUUGCAUCUUG